rnacentral:rRNA from 1 species
UACAGAGGCCUCGAGCGUUAAUCGGAGUCACUGGGCUUAAAGGGUGCGUAGGCGGGUCCGCAAGUGCCUUGUGAAAUCCCACGGCUCAACCGUGGAAUGGCUCGGCAGACUGCGGGUCUUGAGGUCGGUAGGGGUCGCUGGAACUCUAGGUGGAGCGGUGAAAUGCGUAGAUAUCUAGAGGAACGCCAAAGGUGAAGACAAGCGACUGGGCCGAUUCUGACGCUGAGACACGAAAGCCAGGGGAGCGAACGGG